UGCACUACGACCUUCAUUUCUUUCAGUGGGAAACUUUUAGCGUCUGAAUUUUGAUGCGAGGACAUGAGAUGUUUAUCGCUAUGAAAUCACGUUCAAGAAGUCUCAUUCAGCACACAUCGCGAUACUUGCUAUCAGUUCCACAGUUUGGCUGAAAAGACGUAAAGGCAGUCAGCCCAGUGGUGUUUCUGGAGAGGUAUUCCUUCAGAAAUGGAGAAGGCAGAAAGCUGCGGAGGCAGACAUUUGCAGCAGAUUGUUUGCAGAUAAUGCUGUUCUUCUUUUUCAGGUCUACAAUAUAGAGCUCAACAGCUCUUUUAAGAGCCAACCCUCACAAACCUUCCUAAAAACUAAAAGAGCUAUUACUGAGACUCUGAGA